UCAUGUUAACCCUUAUUGAAAGAAAUUGAGCGGGAUUCCACCACGCCAUUCAUCCCUCUUUUUGCUUGCCAAUAAUUGAUAAGAGAUUGAUGCACUUUCCAUAUUGUUGAAAUCAGUUUCCUUCCUGUCUUAAUUGCAAUCACAAUAACCACGCUUUUGUAAUAGACCAUUCAGAAAACCCUAAAUCUCAAACACAAAAAUUAUCAUUCAGACCCCAAGAUUUCUUUAUCUUCAAUCGUGAUUGAAAGCAAACAGUCUUCAUGGAGAAAUUGAUUGAAAGCAAAAUUUAGGGUUUAUAGAAUUAGAGGCAGAAUUUAUCAGGUUCUCUCAAUCCAUCUUCCAUCGUGAUUCUCAUCAUGAUGUUUGAAGUUUGGAAUCCAGGCUAAGGAAGUUGCUGGGUUGCUUGGCUAACGAAGCUGUUGUGACAAACUCUUAGCCAAAAUUGAUUGUUGUUGGUACAUGCUCCACUAUAUGAGUAUGCUUGAAUCUACAAGGAAAUUGCUUCAAAUCUUACCCAUCCAGGAGAAACUGUUAAUCAUGCAACCAUUGAUGACGUUGAUGAUGUGUACAACAUUCAUAACAUGUAGAUCUUGUGAUAUACGGGUCGUUUAUUGAAGAACAAUCUUUUUUCCGACAUUCUAAUUAAAGCAAUGUGCCAUGAGAAACCAAUAAUAGGUCCUGACAUGUUGAUGAAAAGGUCAAUGCCUACCUCUUUCCUAAGGAGCAUAUAAUGGUUUUAAUUUUUAGCAUAGAUUAUAAUAACAGGAGGCAUCGGGUGGGUGUUUAGGGAUUAAAAACAGGAAGCAUGUUCAACGUGUAGCAAGGUUUUUUCGUACCAAGCAAGAAGUUUAGCGAAGCCGCAUUAUGGAUGAGAUAGCAAAAACAAAGUAGAUAAAAAUAACCUGGAGUUGGAGAAUUCAAGUUCGUAAUUUCGCAUCAUACAUGCGUGUCACGUUGGCUUGUGAUCACCAAGUUAUUGAUGAUUCCAGUGGGGCGCCCGUGAGCGAUGGGCCCAUCCGUGAGUUAAGUUUAAAAUAGUAUUACAUUAUUGUUUAUUUUGUACACGAUUAAUAGCUUUUUCCUUUUUUUACCUAAGCUUUGCAGCUGAUAAUUUUCUCUUCUACAUGAGAUAAUUUUAAAACUAGAGAAGGCAUUGCUGUUAGAUAUGUAUGUGAGAGCAUACAAGGUACUUUUUUAAGCUCUAUGUUUCCUUAAUUUUUAGUUUUUUGACUGCAUCUCUUGGUGAGUGGUUUUUCCGUUAAAGGUUUAGUAGUGAGGUUAUAGACCUUACUUGGCCUACUUGGUCAUGAUAUAUAGACUUCAUCGUUACAAUAACAAGUCCAUUAAUUGCUAGACAGUCGAUCUGAAGUAUCAUGUUACCCUGAUAUUUAGUUCAAUAUGCCAUACAAGGCGCAAAGAUGUUUUGGUUUUCGCAUCUUUAACAAAGCUUCUAAACAGAGUAUAUGAAUCGGAAUUUGGAUCUACAAGACAUGUGGGUAGAACGUUUUCUGGGAUUGGGAAUGGAAGCGGGUUCCCGGAACUGAUAGAAGUCAAAAUGAAAAGGAUAGGAAAGACAAAUGGGGGUGGGCGAGUCACGGCGUAACAGAUGCGUUCUCGGUUAAAUAGUUACACAUAGAUAUGAAUGAUGCAAGCGGGGUGCGGGACGGGACUGGGUAUUUAUGGAACAGAUAGCUAUUCCCAAAGUGAAUUAUUUUGCUUGGCGGGCGAUGAGUGGGAAAAUCCCAACUACAGAUGCAUUGGUAGCUAGAGGCGUCCCAAACAUUAAUACAACAUGCUCAGCAUGCGGUAUAUGUCUAGAGUUAGUGGCUCGGUGCACCAUUUACUGGUGGACUGCAUAUUCAUAAGGACAAUAUGGUGGCAGAUAUGUGUUUGGGUCAUUCAAUUUGACUCAGCGGAUUCUUACUUACGGUCAGGAAGCAUCCAAGCCGGGAUACAAGAUGCAUGUGGUAAACACCAUAUUUCUAAUGACAUUGUAUAGUAUUUGGAAUAGAGGAAAUCAAAAGAUCUACAAAGGUGUAUCGAGAACGGCCUUCCAAGUAGUAGAGGAAAUCAAAGAAUCCACGUACCGGUGGAUGUUAAAAAGGUCUAAAAUUGGUGAAAUAUCCAUGCAACAGUGGAUUAGUUUGAAGGUGCAGUGGAUUAGUUUGAAUGUGUUAAGACAUGUCAGUAUGCAAUUCAACUGUUCGUUUUUAGUACGUGGUUUAAUUUUUUAUCUGUAACUCACUAUUUACAUCAUUCUUACUUGAAAUAUCGAUGCAGCACGUGAUAUUUAGUGGGAAAUAAUUACUAUAUAUUUUGUAAAUAUUCUUUUAUAUCAUACUAUGUGUUCUUACAUU